rnacentral:rRNA from 1 species
AUUAACGCUGGCGGCGUGCAUAACACAUGCAAGUCGAACGAUGAAACUUAAAUGAUUUCUUCGGAAUGCACUUAAGUGGAUUAGUGGCGGACGGGUGAGUAACGCGUGAGUAACCUGCCUUACACAAGGGGAUAGCCGUUGGAAACGACGAAUAAUACCCUAUGAAACUAUCACUUCGCAUGAAGCGAUAGUCAAAGUGUUAGCGGUGUAAGAUGGACUUGCGUCUGAUUAGCUAGUUGGUGAGAAAAAAGCCCACCAAGGCAACGAUCAGUAGCCGGCUUGAGAGAGUGUACGGCCACAUUGGGACUGAGACACGGCCCAGACUCCUACGGGAGGCAGCAGUGGGGAAUUUUGCACAAUGGGGGAAACCCUGAUGCAGCGACGCCGCGUGAUUUAGAAGGCCUUCGGGUUGUAAAAAUCUUUUGUAUAGGAAGAAAAUGACAGUACUAUACGAAUAAGGUCCGGCUAAUUACGUG